GAGCGAGUUCUGGCCUGCCAGCCCUCUAGAUACUUUCGGAUCACCCGUUGUACACCCAUACACAGUCCUCCUCAGCCUACACCUAGAUAUGGGGACUCCCAGGUACUGCAAGGGCCCAUUAUGCUCUACAAUCCUAAGUCAUCCCUGAUCGUAUGUCGCAACUGAAUCAACAUCCUCGGACUAAAAUACAUCACAAACUUAAGAAGAUUCACCUUCCGAUUUGAAGCA
rnacentral:lncRNA from 1 species